UGGCACACAUCAAUGUCCACGUUUUU
rnacentral:miRNA from 1 species